rnacentral:rRNA from 1 species
GAUGAACGCUGGCGGCGUGCCUAAUACAUGCAAGUCGAGCGAACGGACGAGAAGCUUGCUUCUCUGAUGUUAGCGGCGGACGGGUGAGUAACACGUGGAUAACCUACCUAUAAGACUGGGAUAACUUCGGGAAACCGGAGCUAAUACCGGAUAAUAUUUUGAACCGCAUGGUUCAAAAGUGAAAGACGGUCUUGCUGUCACUUAUAGAUGGAUCCGCGCUGCAUUAGCUAGUUGGUAAGGUAACGGCUUACCAAAGCAACGAUGCAUAGCCGACCUGAGAGGGUGAUCGGCCACACUGGAACUGAGACACGGUCCAGACUCCUACGGGAGGCAGCAGUAGGGAAUCUUCCGCAAUGGGCGAAAGCCUGACGGAGCAACGCCGCGUGAGUGAUGAAGGUCUUCGGAUCGUAAAACUCUGUUAUUAGGGAAGAACAUAUGUGUAAGUAACUGUGCACAUCUUGACGGUACCUAAUCAGAAAGCCACGGCUAACUACGUGCCAGCAGCCGCGGUAAUACGUAGGUGGCAAGCGUUAUCCGGAAUUAUUGGGCGUAAAGCGCGCGUAGGCGGUUUUUUAAGUCUGAUGUGAAAGCCCACGGCUCAACCGUGGAGGGUCAUUGGAAACUGGAAAACUUGAGUGCAGAAGAGGAAAGUGGAAUUCCAUGUGUAGCGGUGAAAUGCGCAGAGAUAUGGAGGAACACCAGUGGCGAAAGCGACUUUCUGGUCUGUAACUGACGCUGAUGUGCGAAAGCGUGGGGAUCAAACAGGAUUAGAUACCCUGGUAGUCCACGCCGUAAACGAUGAGUGCUAAGUGUUAGGGGGUUUCCGCCCCUUAGUGCUGCAGCUAACGCAUUAAGCACUCCGCCUGGGGAGUACGACCGCAAGGUUGAAACUCAAAGGAAUUGACGGGGACCCGCACAAGCGGUGGAGCAUGUGGUUUAAUUCGAAGCAACGCGAAGAACCUUACCAAAUCUUGACAUCCUUUGACAACUCUAGAGAUAGAGCCUUCCCCUUCGGGGGACAAAGUGACAGGUGGUGCAUGGUUGUCGUCAGCUCGUGUCGUGAGAUGUUGGGUUAAGUCCCGCAACGAGCGCAACCCUUAAGCUUAGUUGCCAUCAUUAAGUUGGGCACUCUAAGUUGACUGCCGGUGACAAACCGGAGGAAGGUGGGGAUGACGUCAAAUCAUCAUGCCCCUUAUGAUUUGGGCUACACACGUGCUACAAUGGACAAUACAAAGGGCAGCGAAACCGCGAGGUCAAGCAAAUCCCAUAAAGUUGUUCUCAGUUCGGAUUGUAGUCUGCAACUCGACUACAUGAAGCUGGAAUCGCUAGUAAUCGUAGAUCAGCAUGCUACGGUGAAUACGUUCCCGGGUCU